GUGCUUACUGCAGUAGCACAUAUACUAAAGUUGAAACAGUACAGAGAAGACUAGCCUGGCUCCUGAGCAAGGAUGACACACAAAUUCAUGAAGUAUUUCAUAUUUUA
rnacentral:snRNA from 1 species